AACGAACGCUGGCGGCAGGCUUAACACAUGCAAGUCGAACGCCCCGCAAGGGGAGUGGCAGACGGGUGAGUAACGCGUGGGAAUCUACCCAGUUCUACGGAACAACACAGGGAAACUUGUGCUAAUACCGUAUACGCCCUAAAGGGGAAAGAUUUAUCGGAAUUGGAUGAGCCCGCGUUGGACUAGCUAGUUGGUGGGGUAAUGGCCUACCAAGGCGACGAUCCAUAGCUGGUCUGAGAGGAUGAUCAGCCACACUGGGACUGAGACACGGCCCAGACUCCUACGGGAGGCAGCAGUGGGGAAUAUUGGACAAUGGGCGCAAGCCUGAUCCAGCCAUGCCGCGUGAGUGAUGAAGGCCUUAGGGUUGUAAAGCUCUUUCAGUAGGGACGAUAAUGACGGUACCUACAGAAGAAGCCCCGGCUAACUUCGUGCCAGCCGCCGCGGUAA
rnacentral:rRNA from 1 species